UUAAACUGUCCAUAACAUUUUCUAGCAUCACAACACUCUACAACAACGCCGUAUGCUCAAAAAUUGCAUUAGAAAAUGAUGAAUACUCUUGGUGCCGUUCCUCACGAUAACUACUCAAUGAUUUUAUUACAUAAUUCUGGAUAAUCAUUGGAUUUUAUCUGAAAUUCUUGUUGAAUCAAGUACUCGAGGUACUUUUCGAGAUUGUUGCAGACGAAUGCAAUUUACGCAGAAAAGCAUCACAUCACUCUACAACAACUCGGUAUACUCAAAAAAAGAAUUAGAAAAUGAUGAAUACUCUUGGUGCCGUUCUACACGAUAACUACUCAAUGAUUUUCACGUCAUCACAACACUCUACAACAACUCGGUAUACUCAAAAAUGGCUUUAGAAAACUCGAAACGUACUCGAAGGUGAAAAUCGAAAACUAUUAAUUUAUAUACAAGAUGCAUUUCUUUAUCACAAAUGUGCCAUGAUAGAAAUAAUUAUCAAGAAUGCUUUUGUAGAGAAGACAUCGUAGAUUUAUAC